UACGUAGGCAGCAAGCGUUGUUCGGAGUUACUGGGCGUAAAGGGUGUGUAGGCGGUUGUUUAAGUUUGGUGUGAAAUCUCCCGCUCAACUGGGAGGGUGCGCCGAAUACUGAAUGACUCGAGUGCGGGAGAGGAAAGUGGAAUUCCUGGUGUAGCGGUGAAAUGCGUAGAUAUCAGGAGGAACACCGGUGGUGUAGACGGCUUUCUGGACCGUAACUGACGCUGAGACACGAAAGCGUGGGUAGCAAACAGGG
rnacentral:rRNA from 1 species